ensembl:lncRNA
AAACCCUGAGAAAAAAAUCAUACUCUUUCCUUUAACCGAGACUUCAAAAGAAUCCUGCACCACUGCUUCUCGAACUUUAAGGUGUAGAUGAAUCACCUGGGAAUCUUGUUAAAAUGCAGAUUUAAAUUUAGUAGGACUAGGUGGGGCCCAAGAUUCUACUUUUCUAACAAGCUUUUCGCUGAUUUGAUGCUGUUGAUUCAUGGACCGUCCUUUGAAGAGCAGAGCAGACGGUGGGCCAGUUAGUGCUGGAUCCAGUUAUGAUCUCCUCUACUUGUUGUAAAGUAUUUAAUACAGCACCUGGCAUAGGGUCAGCCCGUCACUAUUACUGCUUUAUUAUCUGUGUAGGAUAAACCGGAAAACUUAUCCUUGAUGCACUGUUUAAUAUUAUCAAAACUGGGACGAAGUUGAUCCUCAUCUUCAAGGACGUGUUACAAGCCUUAUGGAAUUUGCUGGUCAUCUGUAGCUAAGCAAGCUGAGCAAAUCUGACAGCCCUUGUGCAGAGUCCCUGUGGACGUCACUCACUCUCAGCCCUUGCUCCAUGCACCCCCUCCUGUGGGCCAACAGAAGAGGAAACCAAAUGUUUUCAUCAGCAGCCAGGGAAGUCGGAGCCACCUUACAAAGGGACCCAGUGCUGCAUUAUUAAACCAGCCCUGAAAGAAAGGAGAGCAGAGGAAAAGAUUUUCAUGAAAAUUGUUACAUAUUAUAACACAGAUCCUGUGCGCAAAAGAUGAAGAUACUGUUGUCGACUGGUAAAGCAUGGUAACAGGCCCACGUUGUUUGUUUUAAAAAAUGUUUUCUGGACUGCUGGUGGCCUCAGACACGCAUUUUGAAAGACUCCAACCCAUUUACAUAUAGAAAUCCCUAUGCACCCAGUCGGCUAAGUGCCAACCAGAAUCUAUAAAAAGCUACGGGCUUUACCUUCAAAUUAAAAAGUCGCUCAUCAACCAGAUUAUUCGUCAAACUCGAUUUCAAAGCUCUCUCCCUGGCUGUAAUCCCAACAGGGUCAGAGAUAGGGUUUAGAUCGUAAUUUUUCACUUGGGGGUCAGCCCGAGAAUCACAAAUAAUAAUGACUUCCUCCCCCUCCCGAAUUUCAUCACCUCUCCCCUCGUUCUCAACUCCCCAUGGCAGACAUCCCGGUCUCUGGUGUGUCUUCUGCAGGCACGGCGUCAGAGGAAAACCGGAGGAGGGUCAGACGGUCAUUCCUGGGCCCUCCCCGCCUCCAGAGCAGCGAAUCAUCCCGCGGCCCGCAGAUACCCAAGCCGCGAAACAGGACGAGCCCCCAGGAGAGCUCCGCUACAGUCACAGUAUGUUUUCUUAUGUGGUUAAUAGAUACAGAGGGAGGGAAACUGCCCUUCAAACGUUUUGGCAAAGAGAGAGAUCCAGAAGAUGAGGUCCGGGAACCGAGCACCUGGUCAGCACUCUGCGUGCGAAACCAGUGCCCAGAUACGAAAGCUCUGCAGCGAGAUGUGAGCUCUGGCAAGUGGCGCGGCACCUACCCGUCCCGGAAGCCAGAUCAAAGAGCCUUCUCAGACACCCUCACUUUCCAGCAUCCACAGAACUUGACUUUAGGAAUUCCUUCCACGCCCAGUCUACCUCUUCCUGCUCUGGGCGCCCUGUGCACUUGGAGGCUGGGGGAGGAGAAUGGAAGGAUAUAAACUUGUGAAAUAAAUAUUUUUGGGAAACCUUCAGAUUGUCUCAGAAUCAGCAGGACACAUGGGGCAGGCACAAUAGGUUCACUUUCAUGUGGAUGCUGGAGCAGGCAAGACUUCCAAGUAAAAACUCUGAAUGUGAAUUUAGCUAGUUUUGGAUAAAGACGCCUUUCAGCGUCAAUAAACACCCUGAAUGCAGCCGCGGUGGAGUUACAACUUAAUGAGAUGAGGGGAAGUGCACCGGGUCAGGCCUCAUCUCCCAGCCUCUGUCAUGCUAAUCAGCUGGGCAGCCGGCAGCUGAAAAACUGCUGGAAUUUUUAUUUGCAUUUCAUUUACUUGGAAGGAAAUUGACCCAGAUGGUCCACAAAGGCCCUAGAAGGCUGGCAAGCAGUGUAGGGCUGCACACUUCUCAGAGGGCCUGCACUUGUCUGCCCAUCCUUCUUUGAGCCUAGGGCAUAAAAGAUUAAAACAGCGUAAGGGAAUUGAUUUCAUGAUUUUUAGAUAAUUUCCCCAAGAUUUUAGAAAGGACCUCAAAAACCUAAUUUAAUCAGCCAGGAGCUCAAUAGUAAUUAAGAGGAAGAAAAGCUGAGAUAAUGAAAGAGGUGGUGAGGAUUUUUGCUGUUGCUGGUGGGAACCUUUCUUAAUUAGGAAAAGUCUAAAAACUAAAUGAUGUUAAUAGAGACAAGCAUAGACACCGAGAGCCAGCGGCCGGCGGCCGGCGCCACAGUCAGCCCAUGAUGGAUUGCCCACGGAGUUCUCUUUCUCCAAAGAGAGUCCAAACAAUUGGCCACAGAGGUGCCCUGCAUGGCAUUUCCAUGGGUAUUUGCUUGAAUCUUGAAAGUUGGAGUCCAGAGGUCCCUGCCAAUGGAGAGCUCAUUCUCAUCCAGCCAGAAGCCCCUGAAGUUCUCACCAUGAAGCACCAUGGCUCCAACACUCAGAACCCCGCUCAGGACAAAGGACUCUGAGCAGAUACCAAACGGUGGAACCUGGGGUGGUCUUAUCUGCAGGGCUUUCUGCUUUUUAUUGACCGUUGGCAGACUAGGAGGAAGACAGGAGACAACAGGGAUUCUGUACCUAAGGCGGCAAC